AGAGUUUGAUCCUGGCUCAGGAUGAACGCUGGCGGCGUGCUUAACACAUGCAAGUCGAACGGACUCAUAUUGAAACCUAGUGAUUUAUGAGUUAGUGGCGGACGGGUGAGUAACGCGUGGAAAACCUGCCGUAUACUGGGGGAUAACACUUAGAAAUAGGUGCUAAUACCGCAUAAGCGCACAGCUUCGCAUGAAGUGGUGUGAAAAACUCUGGUGGUAUACGAUGGUUCCGCGUCUGAUUAGCUUGUUGGUGGGGUAAUGGCUCACCAAGGCGACGAUCAGUAGCCGGCCUGAGAGGGUGAACGGCCACAUUGGGACUGAGACACGGCCCAAACUCCUACGGGAGGCAGCAGUGGGGAAUAUUGCACAAUGGGGGAAACCCUGAUGCAGCGACGCCGCGUGAGUGAAGAAGUAUUUCGGUAUGUAAAGCUCUAUCAGCAGGGAAGAAAAUGGCGGUACCUGAUUAAGAAGCCCCGGCUAACUACGUG
rnacentral:rRNA from 1 species